rnacentral:rRNA from 1 species
GUGGGGAAUCUUAGACAAUGGGGGCAACCCUGAUCUAGCCAUGCCGCGUGAGUGAUGAAGGCCUUAUGGUUGUAAAGCUCUUUCAGUGGGGAAGAUAAUGACGGUACCCACAGAAGAAGCCCCGGCUAACUCCGUGCCAGCAGCCGCGGUAAUACGGAGGGGGCUAGCGUUGUUCGGAAUUACUGGGCGUAAAGCGCACGUAGGCGGAUCGGAAAGUUGGGGGUGAAAUCCCAGGGCUCAACCCUGGAACUGCCUUCAAAACUAUCGGUCUGGAGUCCGAGAGAGGUGAGUGGAAUUCCGAGUGUAGAGGUGAAAUUCGUAGAUAUUCGGAGGAACACCAGUGGCGAAGGCGGCUCACUGGCUCGGUACUGACGCUGAGGUGCGAAAGCGUGGGGAGCAAACAGGAUUAGAAACCCUAGUAGUCC